AGCGUCCAUGAUGUUACACAAUUACCUACAUUGUUUGAGCCUUAUGAAAACAUAACUGGCUGAGACGCCU
ensembl:snoRNA SNORD34 Small nucleolar RNA SNORD34